CAAUGUUUUUCUUGCUUUACUGCUGUUUUUACCCAGAAGUGGGAGUUGGCUGUCCUGGCUGUACCAAACCAACAGAUUUUAAAGGAAUCCUGAGAAUUAUCUUCAAAAACCAACAUUUUCAUUAAAAAAAAAAAAAGAGGAGAGGGGAGGGAAGAAAAGAAAAAGGACAGAUUCAUUCAAAUUUCUGCACACCCUCUCAGGCUGCUGACAGGACAGCAAAUGGCCAAGUCUCACCAAGGGGAGUUUUGAGAAAUACUCAGGACAGCAUCGCUUCCAGCUCCUGGAUGCAGAGGAACUCGUAGUGGGUCAGCCCUAAGGACACUCCCAUCCUCUCUCCUGGUUUCAGAACACUGUGUGUUCCCCCACAGCCCUCAGAGCAGCUCUCAGCAGCAGCCAUCUCCCCGCUAUCCCCAUUCACGGCGAAGAUUCAAACAUUCCAAGCCCAUCCAUCCAGUCCAACAGCGGACAAUUAGGGAUUUGUGGCACGAGGUACAUUAGUUACAUUGAUUUGGCUUUGCAGCUCCAGCCAAGCUACCUUUAGCUUCACGCAGUACAUUAAUGGGAGCAAUGGGCAUGACAACUCCUACACACAAAGGCACCAGGCCACUUACAGCUGGUAAAUGAACCUUGGAACUUACAUAAAGCAGAAGGGCAAUGUAAAUGGGACUUCACCCCAUCCCCACCUCCUGACUUGAGACUGUGGCUUGAGAACAGCAGGAAUUGCUCAUGGGACAGCCCAGGGAUGUAUAUAUCAAGGCUGGAACACAGAGAUGAAAGCAUCCCGGGGGCAGGCAGAAGAGUGGGGCUGGAAUUCAGCUUCCUCACUGCAAGAUUUCACUUUCACUGAGUAGAUAUUUGGUAAAAUAUCUCUUCCUCCUCAUGCUGAGGACCUUAUUGCUCCCCAGGCCUGAGCACAGGAUCAUUCAACAGAAAGACAUUGAAAAAGUCAGCGUUGGCUUUUUCUCUCUGCAAAUAACACCGUGUUUCAGAGAGGCUGAAAUUGCAACAUGAAUCAAAGCAGACAGCUGGAGUCUAUGCGUGCAGCCUGCAGCCCUCAUGCACUGAAGGGCCUGCCCUGUCCCCAGGAUGUCUAUGGACGCUCCAAGGUCUUUUCCAGCUUUAACAACUCUAUGACUAUGACCACUUCUUCUGAGAAGGAACCCUUCCCAAUAUCCAAACUGGAGAGCAGGGAUGCAGCUUGCUUGGCUGGGUUUGUUUCAUUCUACCCUUUUACCCUCUUUCUCUUCGUACUCCAGCACCAAGCUUGUCCAUCCCCAGGGAUAAGCACACCUUAUAGCCCCACGCUCCUCCCAAGGGUGGGUACAUCAGCACAGCCACACAGUGUGGCGCUCCCACCCGGGAGCCACCCUGCAGGAGGGUCUUUGGGUGCCCUCCUUCACCCACAGCUAUUUCCACCUGUGGGGCUGUCUAUGGAUAUCUCACCCCCAGGUCUGUGGGGCAGCCCUGGCUGGGGCCAUGCCUUGCCAAAAGCAUUUCCUGGUGAGUUGCAGCCCCGUGGUGAGCCAGCUGCUCGGCAUGGCUGAGAAUCGACAGGGAACCAAGCGGGUGGAGGAUUUUAAUACCUAUCCCUCUCAAACUGCUAUGGAAAGGGAAAGUUCAUUGGUUGUCGAUAUUAUCCUGCUGUGAUAAAAGCUUAAGAAGCUGCUUUGCAAAUGCCCACUGCGAGGAGCAUGCUAUAAAUGUUUCCAGCAUGAAGUGAUACAUCACAGCUCAUGGAUGUUCCCACUGAGAAAGACCCCAGCUCCAGCUUCUUCCAGGGACGCGCUUAGGAAAUGCAAUCUACCACUGCCAGCAUAAUCAAACACAUAUUGUUCCCAGGCACCAAAGUGGCCACCGGUGAAUUGAUACUUGGGAGCACUUUGCUCUUACACAGCUCUUCAUCUGUCACUCUCAAAAUCUGUGGGUUUUCUCCUUCUUUUUGUUUUUACAAGGGGUUCCUAUUACCAUCUCCACUCUGCCAGGAGGGAAACUGAGGCUGGGAAUGUCACCCAUGACUGCUGAGUCUGUGGACGUCUCCUUGGAAUCACAUCAGUUCAUUACAGGCACAGCUUUCCUUUGGCCAUCAGUGUCCAUCUGCUCAGAUGUUCCGGAGCUCCAUCAUGAAAGCCUGGGAAAUUUAUUUAUUUCAACCCAUUUAAAGUGAUUUCACUAAUGUAUUCCACAGAGUGGGUUUAGCGUGUGAGCUCUUUACUAAAAUCAUUACUGUAUUAAUGAGACCUAACCUAAAGCCACUGAACAUGACUUUAAAGGAAUAUCUCAAAGCGGCGGCUGAGAUGGAUGGGAGCAGGCAGAACGUGUUUGUAAAGUUAUAUUUAGUCAAAUCAAACUGGAACUCAUUAAAUACAGCAAAAUAAUUCACUGAAUAAUUCACUCCAGUUGAAUGCGAAGGAUUUGGAGAACCUUGGGUUGUUUGAUUGAAAAGCAGGUUAUUGAUGCUCCUGUGCAUGUGACAGAGCAGAAAUAGGAGUGGGAGGUGGAGAGCUGUCACCUCGGUGUGAAGGGCCUUCCGUGGAGAAAGGUCCAUCAGAACCAAAGGUUGGCAAAGCGUGGCUGGAAUUAAGGCUCACGCUUUUGUUUGGGAGGGAAAUGAACAGCAGCCCCUGAGUGGGGAGUAUGGGAUGUAGGAGAGCACUCUGGGAGCAGCGCAGGGUCAGAGGAGGAAUGGCUCCAGCAGUGCCUUUGCUUAUACCCAAGCAGGGCAUGCACCUACUCUUAAAGCAAGUAAAACCUCAUUCCCUCAUUCGUGCAAACUUCAGGCCACACCUCAGACCUGGUCCCAACCAUUCAGCCAUCCCUACAGCAUCGGAGAGGAUCAGCUUUGCUUCACAUAUGAGAAAACCCUGGCACAGACACCAUGGCAGCUCAGCCAUGUGUCCCCUCCGCACCCCCUCCUCCUUUAACCCCAUUCAUGCCAGCAUGCUCCGCUCUGGAAUCUCCCAGCAAAAGGAAAAGCUUUAAACAAAAUACAAUUUUACAGUUCAUUUCAGUUAAUCACAGAGUCUAUGUUCUGAAAUGAUCUUCUCGGCAUUGCCUAUGGAGAGAAGCAAUGGCUGAUUGGCAUUCCAUUACUAAACAGCUAAGCCAUUCAUAAUGCAAAAAAACAGACUUGAUGGAAAGAUUUGAUUCAGUUUUCAAGCUAGACUAAUUCAAAACCCAGUGCUCUAUAAAUCAGAGCAAAUGUUCUUUAUAAAAAAAAUAUAGCCGAGCCUGUGUGCAGUAUCAGAUCUAUGAUUUAUGCCUGUAUCCCAUUAAACUGAAGGACAAGCGAGGGGAGCACAGGGCUGCCACUGCAUGCCAGCUCCCUGCCUGCCCCGCAAUAAACACGUUCUGUGACUGCAGGAACAGUGUGAUGUCUGAGGGACGUUUGGGGGCUGAGGGGAUGUUCUGUUUUCCAGGGGCACAGCAAAGCCCCUUGGGGGGCUGUGGAGCCUGCAGGAGGGCAGGGGAUGGUGCCUCGGAGCAGCAGGGCUGUGCUGAAGCCCUCGGUUUUUCCUUCUUUGCUGCACCACCUCAUGCCCUGCAGAGUCCCUUCUGCAGAGAUACCACUGUUUUUCAGCCUGCAGGUGGGAUGUCUCCUUUGAGCAUCACAGGAUACAACAGUUCCCCAGCACCACUUUCAGGCUGCAGCAGAAGGAAGCGGUCCAGGAAACAUCCCACGCGUGUUUCCUUCCUGCUAAACCUCUCCACCCGAUGGCAGCUUCAGCGCUGUGCAUUGCUUUGGUGCAUGGAGCAGUGCUGUGUUCCACACCAAGCCCUGGGUGUGGGUGUUCUUCCACCUCUCCGUGCAUCUCCUGCUCUUGUUUGCCUUCUCUACAGCUCACGUGGCUCCACACCGAGUGGAGCUGGGGGCCGUUAACAUCUGUUGGCACUCCAGAGCUCGUGGGGAAAAUGAUGCCAUCUUUCAGGGACCGCCGCUGACAUUUUAAAAGCCGUGUCUGAAAUCCCUGAACAAUUAAGAGCGAGGCUUUCACAUUCCUCCCUACCCACAGCAUUGCACAGGCAAGGCACCAGCUGAGAAGUGCAUGGUGAUAGGAAAAGCCACGAUUAAUGAAUAAUGGAGCGCUGGCAAUAUGUAACUUCCAGGCGGAGCCAUCAUAAUUCAAUCCAAGCAGCAAUAUCAGGGCCUUUCCUUGGAGGAGUCUAAGCAGUGGUUAAAUAUUCAAUAAAAAAAAAAGAUGGC
ensembl:lncRNA